rnacentral:rRNA from 1 species
UGAAACCCGCCUGCGUGAAGUUGGAAUUGCUAGUAAUCGCGGAUCAGAAUGCCGCGGUGAAUACGUUCCCGGGUCUUGUACACACCGCCCGUCACACCAUGGGAGUCGAUAACGCCCGAAGUCAGUGACCCAACCUGUAAGGAGGGAGCUGCCGAAGGCGGGAUUGAUAACUGGGGUGAAGUCGUAACAAGGUACC